GACGAACGCUGGCGGCGCGCUUAACACAUGCAAGUCGAGCGAGAACCUGGCUUCGGCCAGGGGGAAAGCGGCGAACGGGUGAGUAACACGUGGGCAACCCACCCUUGGUAUCCGGAUAGCCCGGGGAAACCCGGAUUAAUACGGAAUGGCCCAACAGCUCUUCGGGGCGGUUGGAAAAGGUAGCUUCGGCCUCCGACCAAGGACGGGCCCGCGGUGGAUUAGCUUGUUGGUGAGGUAACGGCCCACCAAGGCGACGAUCCAUAGCNGGUCUGAGAGGACGAUCAGCCACACUGGGACUGAGACACGGCCCAGACUCCUACGGGAGGCAGCAGUGGGGAAUCUUGCGCAAUGGGCGAAAGCCUGACGCAGCGACGCCGCGUGGGGGAAGAAGGCUUUCGGGUUGUAAACCCCUUUCAGGAAGGACGAAGCCACUCGGGUUAAUAGCCCAGAGGGUGACGGUACUUCCAGAAGAAGCCCCGGCUAACUACGUGCCAGCCGCCGCCGUAA
rnacentral:rRNA from 1 species